rnacentral:rRNA from 1 species
GACGUAGGGCGCAAGCGUUGUUCGGAAUUAUUGGGCGUAAAGGGCGCGUAGGCGGUGCGGUAAGUCACCUGUGAAAUCUCCUGGCUCAACUGGGAGCUUGCAGGCGAAACUGCCGUGCUGGAGUGCGGGAGAGGUGCGUGGAAUUCCUGGUGUAGCGGUGAAAUGCGUAGAUAUCAGGAGGAACACCUGUGGCGAAGGCGGCGCACUGGAACGCAACUGACGCUGAGGCGCGAAAGCUAGGGGAGCAAACAGG